UCUCAUUAACCAGCAGGAGUUAAAGAACCCAAAGCCACAUAUAUCGCUGCGAUAUAAAGUUUCGCAGGGCAGACAGAGGGACAGACAGAGGGGGAUAGAAGCCCUUUCACCGGGAACAUCUGGAACUUUCCAGCCUCUCCAGAUAGAGACACACACCAUUUUGAGGAUAUGAAAGCUGUCACAUCUUUUAUAUGGCGGCACUCUCAUUAAAGACUGGGAGGGCGUGCGCCACGGACUUACGAUCCACUCCCACACUCCUCUGACAGACGGAAGAUUCACACCAGGGACUGGCCAUUACAAGUUUUAACAUCUGAGUGGAGGGGAAUCGGGUGAAGCAACCGCAGGAAAACAGACAGCCCUCGUCUCGGACGACUAAAUACCUCCAUGCUGCCGUCCGAGAUGAAGCGGAACAGGAAGUGGUCACUCUAGAGGUGGGACGUUCAACCACAUGCCUGAGGAAAACAGAAAAAUGUGGAAUUUUACUACCUGUAGAAAUGGGCAGAAAGCAAAAUUUGGUUUUGAGAGCUAAUUCAAAGUUAGUUCAGUGUUCACAGGAUGGGCUUUUGCAUAGAUGGGGUGCAACAGAACUGAAAACAGGGUGCCAAGAUGCAAUUCGAAAAACCUGAACUGCUUUUUAAAAUGACAUAACAUGUAAAAGCUAAAAAAAAAAUAUAGGAGGAGAGGAAAAUUAACAAACAUACAGAGCUACAGCAACUAGCACCCUCCAACUAUUUUUAUUAUUUUUCUGAUUAUGAUUGUACUGUGGUUGGGCACAUAUACGUG
ensembl:lncRNA